UCUUUCUCUCUUUCUCUCCAAUUUCUCCCUCUCUUCGACUAAAAUCAAGCAGUCACUUUUUGACCGAACAUCUAACCAACGCCAACGUCGGCAACCACCCAACCCACCAGGUAAGUUUUCUUAUCAUCUCUCAUCCCCCCUUCUACCGCUCCUUUCUCAUUCCUUUGUCUUCUCUCCUCUCCAAAUUCUCCAACCCUGACAGUAGCCGCCAAUGAUUAUUCUGGCAACUGUUGUUCCCCCCACCCCCUUCUACCACUCCCUUCAGUAUCCUCUUUUGUAAAGCCCCGUAAAAAUUUACCUAAAAAUCCAAAAUUUUAUGAUACCGAGAUAGGCGUAUGUGUUAAAAAUUGUAACCUUAGAGUGACGCAGUCUUUUG
rnacentral:lncRNA from 1 species